rnacentral:rRNA from 1 species
GACAGAGGGUGCAAACGUUGUUCGGAUUUACUGGGCGUAAAGCGUGCGCAGGCGGUUCUGAAAGUCAGCUGUGAAAGCCCCGGGCUUAACCUGGGAAUGGCGGUUGAAACUACAGGACUAGAAUCUGGCAGAGGGGGGUGGAAUUCCACGUGUAGCAGUGAAAUGCGUAGAGAUGUGGAGGAACACCGAUGGCGAAGGCAGCCCCCUGGGCUGAGAUUGACGCUCAGGCACGAAAGCGUGGGGAGCAAACAGG